GGGGACACCUCUAGAUUAACUAGGCAGGGACCCGACACAGAAAAACUAACUGGUAGGGACAGAUGGUGAGGGACAGAGCGAAGGACGACGGAGAAGAGACGAAGGAAGUUGAGAAAGAGACGAGCACAGAGAAAGUUCAGGGGAAGAGAGGGAGGGAAAAUCAAUAACAAGGCAGGGAAAUGAGCUACAGAAAGGUCUGUUACUUGGCUGGGAGGACAGGGACAGUUGAGAUUUUUAUGGGAUUCUUAACUCAAGAGAGUAACCGUUAGGUUUGACCGACAGACAGACCAAGACUCACACACAUAAACUUGCACAUGCUGUACAUGCAGUACAUGGCACAGACUGCGGGUGGCACUAUUUAGACUUUUUGAGACCUACUACAUGUAGUUAGGGACAGGCAGACAGGUGUCAAAACUCUGUUCAUUUUCUGGGUGAUAUGUUUAUUUUUCCGGGGAAUAGGAUUCAACAUGAAUUACUUCAUCUGUAGUCACUGAAUUCUAAUUAACUGUAAGAUAAUCUCGCUAUCCUCAUCUAUGUUUCCUACCUUCAUUCUGACCAGAGUGCUGCUUCACAGAGCUAUCCAUCUAUCACACAUAUUCCUGUCGCAUUUUCUACCUGAUCAAACCAGAGAGAGUGACAAAGAGGGGAGGGAAAAAAGAGCAAGUGUCUUUUCCUCGUGGCUUCACAGAAACCAUUCCUCUAGGAAGGGAGGAUUAGGGCUAACACAUUUGUUUUCUCACCACAGGGGGAGGAAAUCGUACAAAGAAAAAUCACAUCCUUUAGUUGUCUCUGCGGUUUUUGUGUGCGUGAAUGUGCUCGCGAGUGUGCAUGUGCAAGUUUGCAAAUCCUUACUUCGGCAUUCUGUGUUAACAGUGUGUGAAAUAUGUAUUGUUUUUGAUAUGGUACCGAGCUAAAACUUGACUCCCACCGCAAUGUCCUUGGCACCUGUUAACUGUGACCAAGUGUUUGUGUGUUUGUGCGUGCGUGUGAGUGUGUAUGUGCUUGUCUACAUUCGUACUGAUUUCCAUUUGAUGCCAUAUCGAUAUCUUAAGUAAAACAGUGAUUGGCAAUGUCAUUGUGAUCUUUAUAAUGUUUUAAAACAACUGGUCCAUAUUAUUAUUUUUUUUUGCUGCUACUGAUGAUUUUUGUUUCUAUAGUGGACUUAAAUUCACACACUUAACACAAAAAAUUUAAUUAAUGCUAUUUUCAGUGACUGUUAAGUUGUUUUUUGCACUUUUUAUUUUACCUUUUUCUUUUUUGUACGGACUUUUUUUUUUUUAACCUCACCCAUAUGAUAUGUCUUGACCCUAAUGUCAGUGUUUGUCAUACUGUGUUGCACUGUGAAAUUAAGUGUCUAUGACUGGCAAAAAUAUCCCAAUACUAAAUGGCAAAUAAAAACAACUUUGUGAAACUGCGACUAAUCCGCACUUUUACAAUGACUAACCUUGCCAUAUUACUGAGGUGAGUGUGUGUGUAUGUGUGUGAGAUCCUGCAUGAGUAGGCGAGCAUGAGUACCUUUUUAUGAGCAUGUUUUGGGUAGCUAGAUGGUGUUCAUACGAUAUGUGCACUGUAGGGAGUAAGAAUAAUUUUUCGUUUGAAGGGUUGUAGCCUGCCCCAGCCUACUUUGUGCGCAUGCUCUGUGUUUGUGUUUUCACUCCGUGUGCGACUGUGUGUGUGCAGUAGUGUAUGUUUGAUGUGUAUUUCAGAACAUGGAUGGAUUAUAACACAAUGGGCCACCGGGCACAGAUGUCCUGCAGAGGAGUGAGACACCCAGACUGAAAAUCACAAAGGCAUUAUUUGUGGUGGUAUUGCACAUGUUUUGUGUUUCUGUGGUCAUUUUUUUUGUCUAACUUUGAUCAUUUUGUGUACCAUUUUAGUUAUUUUGCAUCUCUUUUUAGCCAUUCGGUGUCCCUUCUAUUUUUUUUUUUAAAUGGUUCAUUGUGAUUUUUAAACAAUUCUGUCUCGUUGAGGUCAUUUUGUGUCUUAUUUAACAUCUAUUUCUAGCCCUUUUGUACCUCUUUGUGGUCAUUUUGCAUCACAUACUAGUUGUAUUUUGACCAAUUUCGGUUCAUUUAGGUUGUUUUGCAUCUCUUUUCAGCCAUUCUGUGUCACUUUUGGGGUUUUUUUGUGGCUCAUAACUGUUGGAGGUCAUUUUGUGUCUCAUUUUCGUAAUUUUGUAUCACCUUUUGCACUUCUUUUUAGCCGUUUAGUCUCUUUGAGGUCAUUUUGUGUUACAUUCGCGAUAUUUCUGACCAUUUUAUUUCAGCAGUUUUUAGCUGUUCGGUGUCAUUUUGUGGUCGUUUUGUUUCUCUUUCUAGUUGUAUUUCGUCCAGUUUUGGCCAUUUUGUGUCACAUUGUGUCUGUGUGUGUUUUGGUUCAUAGUUAUUUUGAAGCUCCUGGUAGCAUUGCUGUCAGUUUAAGGUCAUUUUAUGUCACAUUUGGAUUUUUUUUUCUCAUUUUUGUCAUUGUGUGUCUCAUUUCGAUUUUUUUGCAUCUAUUUUUAGCCAUUCUGUAUCUCUGUGGUCAUUUUGCAUCUCUUUGUAGUUAUUUUUUGUCAAUUUGUUGUCAUUUUGUGUCACAUUUUGGUUGUUUUGUUGUUAAUUAGUGUUUUGCAUCUCUUUGUGGCCUUUGUGUGUCUGGUCAUUUUGUAUCUUCUUGUAGCCAUUCCAUCUCCUCAAGUUCAUUUUGUGUCAGAUUUGGGUUUUUGUCACACUCAUUUUGAUACUUUUGCAUCUGUUAUUAUCCAUUAGUGUCUCAUUGUGGUAUUUUUUGCAUCUCUUUAUAGUUGUAGUAGUUGUUUUUGUCCACUUUUGGUCAUUUUGUGCCACAUUUUGGUUGUUUUAUAUUUCUUUUUAGCCAUUUUACAUCUGUUUUGUAGUUGUCCUUCAAAUCGCUGUGAUUGUUUUUGUCCUCUUUGGUCAUUUUUUGUGUCUCAUGUUGGUUGUUUCGUGUCUCUUUCUGCGAUAUGUAUUAUAAUUUUAGGAUGAAACCAGGGGCCCCCAGACUCCUUGGGCCCCUGCGUGUAUGCCCGGUCGGCCCACUGACUAAUCUGUCCAUGUUUCAGAGUAAUAUGAUUGCCCUUUACACACCAACACACCACCUCAAUUCACAACAAGAAUAGAGCACAGUACACUACAAAAAGUAAGAGCUAGGACACUGCCAAAGAGCAAUAGCCACUGAAAUUCAAAAGCAGACAAUAAGUAGAGACAAGCUGCUAUUUCAAUAUUCAAUAUGUGCAUAAUGCUGAUGUAGAAGCACAGACACAGCAGGGCUUUUAUGAUUAAUCAUGGUUAAGAUUUUGCCAGCAGAAUUGAUUCCAGGGAUCUAUAUUUUUACAUUGAUAAUCUGCCAGUGUUUUGCAGCUUGUUCUCAUUUGGAAACAGACAGAUGUUAGUACUUGAUUUGACCUAGACUGUGACCAUUUAGAUAAUCAAACCAAUCAUUAGUCAGAUAUGAGACAAUCCGAACCCCAGUCUAGUUCUAUUUCCACAGUCUCUUCAUUCAGAGCUUGUACAAGAAGAUGUUCUUGAUUGCUUGUUCAUCUUAGUGUUUUUUUUUUUUAAUUUACUUUAAGGAUGUUUUCAGUUUCAUGAACAAAUUUUUGUAUUGGGAAGGUCAGUGUACAUUUUCUUUGGAUGAUACUGUUGUAGUCUGCAUCAGCUAUGAAUACAAUGAAGGAAGAGACAAAUAACAGCUUUUUGAAAAAGAAGAAUAGUCUUUUUUUCUAAAUUAUGUUUAUAUAAUAAAAAGCAUGAUAUUGUUGCAAUUUGGCAGAAAGACUGGUACUUUUUUUGUGGAUUACUUUCGCCAGUCGUGUUCCCUUGUUUUCGCAGGUGGGAAUGGAAAUAAAAUGCUUUUGAGUCUAUGAUAUGAUUUAUAGUUUGUGUGUAAAGUCUCAUAAAAUCCAGCUGGAUUGUGGAUUCUUGAAAUAAAUCAUGUCCUGCAUGCUGAAGGAUGGUUGUGAUGGUUA
ensembl:lncRNA